rnacentral:lncRNA from 1 species
AGGCCUCACGGUGGUGGGGUCAGAGAGGGCUGCUGGAGGGAUGUGGGGUCUGUCCCUGCGCUGGACACUGCCCAGCUGCAGAUCACCAGGCCAGCAGCCUCCACCACAGCUGCCGGUCUUCUCCUUCUAGCCCCUGGCCACGGGCUCUUGGGCCCUGCGUGAGUGGUGGCCAUGGGAACACACCACCCAGUGGAAGAGACUGGGGGCACCAUCAGGCAGAGUGGUCUCCUGCUCUUAUGGUGGUGGCCUGAGGCCCCUCUGGGCUGUGGGACUGUUGUGAGUCCAGAGAAGUCCUGUGACUGCCACCUCGUCUGCUGGACAGGCCUGGCUGGAUGAGGGGCUCCAGAGUGCCGUGGCCAGCGGACAGGCACAUGAGUGCUCACGGAAGUCUCUGCACACGUGUGGCUUCCCCAGAGCGCAGGGCUGUGCUCUGAGCACCGGGGCAGGAGGGGGCCAGGCACCUCAGGGUCCAGCUCUCUGCCCCUCCUCCUUUCCCCACAGGAGUCCCGUUUUUCAGAAUAAAAGGUGAGUGUCCAGCGGCCUCUGUGCUGUUGUAGAGACAGGGUCCCACCAGGCCCUUCCUCCUGUUGGACAGGCAGCUGGUGUGCCCAGGCCAGGCAUCCAGGAGCCUGGGGUCUGAGUGGAGCCCUGCACUCCUCUCUGGGGGGUCUCUCAACACUUGCAGCUCCCCAGGCAAGGGCCAGCCUCUGUCCCAGGUGGCCUUGUGGAGUGCUGGU